AGCCCCGGAGUGUUACACGCAGGAUUGCAACCCCUGAAAUGCAAAGAAAUUUGCCAGGGCUU
rnacentral:tRNA from 1 species